rnacentral:rRNA from 1 species
UGGGGAAUAUUGGACAAUGGGCGAAAGCCUGAUCCAGCCAUGCCGCGUGUGUGAAGAAGGUCUUCGGAUUGUAAAGCACUUUAAGCGAGGAGGAGGGUACUGGUAUUAAUACUACCAGGUACUGGACGUUACUCGCAGAAUAAGCACCGGCUAACUCUGUGCCAGCAGCCGCGGUAAUACAGAGGGUGCGAGCGUUAAUCGGAUUUACUGGGCGUAAAGCGUGCGUAGGCGACUAAUUGAGUCGGAUGUGAAAUCCCCGAGCUUAACUUGGGAAUUGCAUUCGAUACUGGUUAGCUAGAGUGUGGGAGAGGAUGGUAGAAUUCCAGGUGUAGCGGUGAAAUGCGUAGAGAUCUGGAGGAAUACCGAUGGCGAAGGCAGCCAUCUGGCCUAACACUGACGCUGAGGUACGAAAGCAUGGGGAGCAAACAGG